rnacentral:rRNA from 2 species
UUUCUUGACGACCAUAGAGCAUUGGAACCACCUGAUCCCAUCCCGAACUCAGCAGUGAAACGAUGCAUCGCCGAUGGUAGUGUGGGGUUUCCCCAUGUGAGAGUAGGUCAUCGUCAAGAUUC